rnacentral:lncRNA from 10 species
CUCACUGCCGCUUUGCAGUUUGAUCUCAGACUGCUGUGCUAGCAAUCAGCGAGACUCCGUGGGCGUAGGACCCCCGCUCCCCACCCCCGAGCCAGGUGUGGGAUAUAAUCUUGUGGUGCACCGUUUUUUAAGCCCGUCGGAAAAGCGCAGUAUUCGGGUGGGAGUGACCCGAUUUUCCAGGUGCCGACCGUCACCCCUUUCUUUGACUAGGAAAGGGAACUGCCUGACCCCUUGCGCUUCCCGAGUGAGGCAAUGCCUCGCCCUGCUUCGGCUCGUGCAUGGUGCGUGCACCCACUGACCUGCGCCCACUGUCUGGCAUUCCCUAGUGAGAUGAACCCGGUACCUCAGAUGGAAAUGCAGAAAUCACCCAUCUUCUGAGUCGCUCACGCUGGGAGCUGUAGACCGGAGCUGUUCCUAUUCGGCCAUCUUGGCUCCUCCCCUGACAUGAAGAGCACAAAAUUUUAAGACAAAAACUGAAAAAAACUUCCAAGUUUACAAAUAUUUUGGAAAUGUAAGGAGAUAGAUAAGAUUCGAAAGUUACAAUUUCUAUUGAAAACGUCAGUGCUCUAAAUUAUGGCACACAAGGCUUUACAGGAAUUGUGGUGCUGGUAUCUGCUUGGCUUCCAGAGACACCUCAGGAAGGUUACAAUCAUGGCGGAAGUUGAAGGGAAACAGGAACGUCAUAUGGAAAAAACCAGAGCAAGAGAGAGAGAGAACAUGGCGGGGGGGGGGGGGGCAGAGGGAGGAGCCACACACCUUUAACCCUUUUCCUGUUUAAGAAUAAAAAACCCUGCAGCUCACUGCCAA